rnacentral:snRNA from 1 species
AGAUGUUGGCUGCAACAUCUCUGACCCCAGUGAUCGCCAGGGUUGAGGUGGUGACCUGGAUGGCUAGGCAGGUGUCCCCUCUACUGCUCCAUGUGUGUCCUUCCUGAAGCUGAGCAGUCUGGUGAAGAGCAUGACCUUCCCCAAUAGAGGAAGAUAUUUCUUGUGUCAUGGGUGUGCAGCUGUGCGCCCCACUAGAACCUGCAAACCCGCUCUCAAGAACAAGGUAGGAGUGCACACACGACGCAGUGUCUAAAAGGCUGUAAGACAGUGUGGUUU